AAAAGUGCUUUACAAUCCGAAGACUUUCUUCACACACGCGGCAUGGCUGGAUCAGGCUUUCGCCCAUUGUCCAAUAUUCCCCACUGCUGCCUCCCGUAGGAGUCUGGACCGUGUCUCAGUUCCAGUGUGACUGAUCAUCCUCUCAGACCAGUUACGGAUCGUCGCCUUGGUAGGCCUUUACCCCACCAACUAGCUAAUCCGACCUAGGCUCAUCUGAUAGCGUGAGGUCCGAAGAUCCCCCACUUUCUCCCUCAGGACGUAUGCGGUAUUAGCGCCCGUUUCCGGACGUUAUCCCCCACUACCAGGCAGAUUCCUAGGCAUUACUCACCCGUCCGCCGCUGAAUCCAGGAGCAAGCUCCCUUCAUCCGCUCGACUUGCAUGUGUUAGGCCUGCCGCCAGCGUUCAAUCUGAGCCAGGAUCAAACCCUU
rnacentral:rRNA from 1 species